rnacentral:rRNA from 1 species
CCUGGUUGAUCCUGCCAGUAGUCAUAUGCUUGUCUCAAAGAUUAAGCCAUGCAUGUCUAAGUAUAAACACUUUUAUACACGUGAAACUGCGAAUGGCUCAUUAAAACAGUUAUAGUUCCUUUGAGAACCACACUACUUGGAUAACCGUAGUAAUUCUAGAGCUAAUACAUGCCGCAACGCCCGACUCACGAAGGGUGGUAUUUAUUGGAUAAAAAACCAUCGUGCUCCUUCCAGAGCGCUUUGAGAUGAUUCACAAUAACUUGUCGGAUCGCAUGGCCUUGUGCUGGCGACUGCUCAUUCAAAUUUCUGCCCUAUCAACUUUCGAUGGUAGAGUAUUGGUCUACCAUGGUGUCGACGGGUAACGGGGAAUUAGGGUUCGAUUCCGGAGAGGGAGCCUGAGAAACGGCUACCACAUCCAAGGAAGGCAGCAGGCGCGCAAAUUACCCAAUCCCGACUCGGGGAGGUAGUGACAAAAAAUAACAAUAGGGGGCCCUUUGGGCCUUCUAAUUGGAAUGAGAACAAUUUAAAUCCCUUAUCGAGGAUCCAUUGGAGGGCAAGUCUGGUGCCAGCAGCCGCGGUAAUUCCAGCUCCAAUAGCGUAUAUUAAAGUUGUUGCAGUUAAAACGCUCGUAGUCGGACCUCGGAGCGCCCUCACGGGCCGGGCUUCUGCCCUUGUGCCAGUGGGAGUUUGUCUCCUUUUGUCGGGACGCGGUGUGUGGGGCCUUGACUGGUUCCGCGCGUUUAUACCUGCGGGCCGACCGUUUACUGUGAAGAAAGUAAAGUGUUCAAAGCAGGCCAAUGCCUUGAAUAUGUGAGCAUGGAAUAAUAGAAUAGGACUUGGGCUCUAUUUUGUUGGUUUCCAGUGACCAAGUAAUGAUUAAUAGGGAUGGUUGGGGGCAUUCGUAUUUCAUUGUCAGAGGUGAAAUUCUUGGAUUGAUGGAAGACGUACAACUGCGAAAGCAUCUGCCAUGGAUGUUUUCAUUGAUCAAGAACGAAAGUUAGGGGAUCGAAGACGAUCAGAUACCGUCGUAGUCUUAACCAUAAACGAUGCCGACUGGGGAUUGGCGGGGCUUCUAAUUCAUGUCCACCUUCCAGGGACGGCGGGAGUAUCGGCGCAUACGGGGCUGGUGCUUCUCCCUACACACGCCCAGGCAAAGUUCCCACAAACCCGCGUGAAGCCUGUUCUGUGCAGUGAUGGCGGGGUCGAGAGUACACACCAAAGAUUUCGGAUUCGCUGGUGGAAGAGUAUGUCCAGCAAGGCUACCGCGAAAUUUAAGGAAUGGUGAGCUCGGAGAGUCGGGAGGCACCCGAGGGACUGGGAGCCUGCGGCUGACUUGAUUUGAACCAUACAUCACGGGAAAACUUAACCAUGGUUCGCGACUGACAGAAAGUAUGGAUGUGACCACGCAGUCGAAUAAGCUCGUUUCAUUAUCGGUCUUGUAGUGCUCAUUAUUGAGUUGAUGGGUGUGUAUGUGCUUAGUUGGUCGGAGUGGAAGUCAUAGAUGUGGGCACACACUACGAGCAGUUAACCGUAACGAGAACGAACGUCGUCGCAAAAAUACAUGCCGCUGCCAUAGCCAGCACAUCUUGCUGAGCGUUCUUACCGAGUUCCUUGAGAGAACUAAAUAAGUCGCUGCACUGGCGCGAGGGCGUUGAGUAGGAGGCAAUAACAGGUUGUGUAUGCGCUCUGUAGAAUUUCAUUGGCCGCUAUGGCGCUGACGUAUAAAACGCUCUGAGAGAUAUGCUGAAGAUCUAGCGAGAGUGUUCACUUUGAUAGCCUGGU